rnacentral:rRNA from 1 species
AAGACCUAAUGAUUCCCUCAGAUAAUGGCGAAUGAACAGGGAUCAGCUCAGCAUGGAAAUUGGGGCCCUCGGCCUUGAAUUGUAGUCUCGAGAUGCAUCGCCAAUGGAGGCGCAGAUGUAAGCCUCUUGGAAAAGAGCAUCAACGAGGGUGAGAGUCCCGUUUGUCAUCUGCAGUCCCCCAUGCACGGCAUGCCUGCUAAGAGUCGCGUUCCUCGGAACUGGAGCGUAAAUUGGGUGGUAAAUUUCAUCUCAAGCUAAAUAUUGGUUCGAGACCGAUAGCAAACAAGUACCAUGAGGGAAAGGUGAAAAGGACUUUGAAAAGAGAGUUAAAAGUGCCUGAAAUUGCUGAAAGGGAAGCGAAUGGAACCAGUGUUGCUUGGCGAGAUUGUCGUACGCAUUCGCGUGUGGUGGUUCUUGCCUUGUGUGUCAACGCCAGUUCGCGAUCGAGGAAAACUCCAGGGACAUGGUAGCCUGUCUCCGGGUGGGUGAAUGUGCCUGGUAGAACUCAUUUGCGGACUGUUCCCUUCGUGUCUGGUUGCAGUGCUGCUUGAUCUUGUGUUGGUGCUUGGGUGAAAGGCUUCUGUGUCUGACACCCUCGUCCUUCUGAGCUUCUCAGCGCUUCCCUGGCACAUAACGAUGACU